UACGGGGGGGGCAAGCGUUGUUCGGAAUUACUGGGCGUAAAGGGCUUGUAGGUGGCCAACUAAGUCAGACGUGAAAUCCCUCGGCUUAACCGGGGAACUGCGUCUGAUACUGGAUGGCUUGAGUUUGGGAGAGGGGUGCAGAAUUCCAGGUGUAGCGGUGAAAUGCGUAGAUAUCUGGAGGAAUACCGGUGGCGAAGGCGGCAUCCUGGACCGACAUUGACGCUGAGGAGCGAAAGUGUGGGGAGCGAACAGG
rnacentral:rRNA from 1 species